CGAGCAUCAUUGAUGAGUUUAUUAUAUUGUUAACCUUGCACUUUGAUCUCUUGUGAAGAAAAUCCAAAAGAAAAUUUUCUUUGAGAUGCUC